rnacentral:ribozyme from 2 species
ACUGCUCGUAAUAAUCACACAUCUCUUCGUGGUGAGCAGCAGGCAACGAUCUUAUGAUUGGCUGAGAUGUGAAA